rnacentral:rRNA from 1 species
GGGCCCGCACAAGCGGUGGAGCAUGUGGUUUAAUUCGACGCAACGCGCAGAACCUUACCAGGGUUUGACAUCCUGUGCUCGCCGGAGAGAUCCGGUUUCCCCGCAAGGGGCGCAGAGACAGGUGCUGCAUGGCUGUCGUCAGCUCGUGUCGUGAGAUGUUGGGUUAAGUCCCGCAACGAGCGCAACCCUCGCCUUUAGUUGCCAUCAUUAAGUUGGGCACUCUAGAGGGACCGCCGGCGACAAGCCGGAGGAAGGUGGGGAUGACGUCAAGUCCUCAUGGCCCUUACACCCUGGGCUACACACGUGCUACAAUGGCGGUGACAGUGGGCAGCUACUUCGCGAGAAGAUGCUAAUCCCAAAAAACCGUCCCAGUUCAGAUUGCACUCUGCAACUCGGGUGCAUGAAGGUGGAAUCGCUAGUAAUCGCAGAACAGCAGGCUGCGGUGAAUACGUUCCCGGGCCUU